AUGCGAUAAGUAAUGUGAAUUGCAGAAUUCAGUGAAUCAUCGAAUCUUUGAACGCACAUUGCGCCCGCGAGUAUUCUCGCGGGCAUGCCUGUCCGAGCGUCAUUUCAACCCUCAGGGCCCGCCUGCUUGCAGGCGCGGCGCUGGUGUUGGGGAUCGGCUACCCUGCCGUCCCCCAAAUACAGUGGCGGUCUCGCUGCAGCCUCCCCUGCGUAGUAGCAACACUCGCAUGCGGAGCGCGGCGCGGCCACGCCGUAAAACCCCCGACUUUCUGAACGUUGACCUCGGAUCAGGUAGGAAUACCCGCUGAACUUAA
rnacentral:misc_RNA from 1 species